rnacentral:snRNA from 1 species
ACACUUACCUGAAAGGGGAGAGAUCACGAUCACAAAGGUGGUUUUCCCAGGACAAGACUGACCCACUGCACUGGGAUCUGCUGACCCCUACGAUUUCCCCACAUGGGGAAAACAUGACUGCAGAAUUUGUGUUAGUGGCGGUUGUGUGUGGACUUCCUCCC